AGCUUGGUGAACUUAAACUAGGUGAGACCUGCCCGGUGUGAUUAUUAACGGCCGCGGGAUUUAACCGUGCUAAGGUAGCAAAAUAAUUUGUCUUUUAAAUGGAGUCGAGUAUGAAUGGUUUAAUGGGGGUUAGCUGUCUCUUUUUGGUUAAUUUGAAAUUACUUUAGAGGUGAAAAAGCCUUUAUUAUAUUAUAGGAAGAGAAGACCCUUUGAAUUUUUAUAAGUUAGGGUUAACCCUAAAAAUUUUGGUUGGGGCGACCAGGGAACAUAUAAACUUCUCUAAAAGGUUUACAUGAAAAUAUUGUUUUGUCUGAAUAAAUUACCAUAGGGAUAACAGCAUUAUUCUUUUAGAGAUUGUGACCUCGAUGUUGGAUUAGGGGAUUAGUUGGUUAGAAGCCUACUAUUUUGGUUCUGUUCGAACUUUUGAACCCUACAU
rnacentral:rRNA from 1 species